GUUUUGCGUGGGAGGCGGUCCCGGGAUUUCAGGGGUCUACCGGCUCUCUUAUGGCGAAUGCAACCCGAAGAGAGAGUGAGCUGUAUCUUCAGAGUUGUCUCCGUCUUUCCAAGAACAGAACAAAAUGAACAAGGGUAUUGUGCUCACAAACCAGAGGUGAUCUUCAGGCUGGAACAAGGAGAAGAACCAUGGAGACUGGAGGAAGAAUUCCCAAGCCAGAGCUUUCCAGGCUCCUCUUGGCUAUGGUGGUUUCCCAGACUUUCCUUGUUUUGGAUGACCUUGACAGUUUGGAGGAAUCCUGGUGAGAAGUCUGGACAGCUGAUCACCUGAAAGAGAGGAGCCAAGAAAAUCAAUCUAAACAUUUGUGGGAAGUUGUAUUCAUCAAUAAUGAAAUGCUGACUAAGGAACAAGGCCCCUGAGGUGUUCAUGCACUGAUCCUGGACCUUGGAUUAAACCCUUGCAGUGCUGGAAGAAGAGGACUCUGCACUGCCUGCCACACCAGGACUGGAAGAUCAAUGGCCUUCCCUUCUUCCAAACUACCUUCCCAUGAGGUGGGGAUGGUGGUCACAUCUCCAACACUGGCGUGCUGUGGAAGAGACAUCAGCAUUCUCUGCAACAAAUUUGGAAACAGCCUAAAGAGACGUUUCUACUUCAAAGAGAUGCACUGAGGAAGUGCACUGGCACUGCUGGGGACUCACCUGGGGCCCAGGGCUGAGGCUUCUCGUGUCCUUGGAGCUGCUGUCCUCCCGAGGAGCGUCCACACUGCAGCCAGCUCAGCCUCAGGUGUCCUAUCUGGUUUUGAAACCAAAUCUAAGUGGGAAAAGAAGAUUCAAGUUUUAUCCGAUUUAGUCUACAUAAUUUUAAGUAUCUAUUUGAGCUCAACACCAAGAAUCACUUCCUUCUCUGUCCCAUCUGUGGUCUCCAAAGGAAAGGUCCCUGGGUUAGGAGACACUGGCUAGCAUCCUAAAGCCAGAGCUGGCCGAUGGGUGUGUGUCCACUCUUCCUUCACCUCUUCCCCACCCUACAGUUGUUUUUGUCUCAUGCUCACUUGCUCUUUCUGCCUCCCUCUCACUCUUUAGGUCUCACAAAGGCUUUGGUCAAGGACUGACUGACUUUCCUUGGCUCUCUGUCAUCUCCCCAUAAUCAAAGGCAUUUCAUAACACACAAUCCAUGUGAAGGGACCUCUGAUCAAAAUUCACUUAAAGAGGAGCUCACUAAUUACCAGUACUUACUGCUGAGCCUGGAAUCAUUCGUAUAUACCCCAGAGUUCAUUCAUUCCAGACACAGUACUAGAUAAGGAGACUCCUAUGAGCCAAAAACCUAACUCUGAAUAGACUGUGACUGUCAUAAUCAAACCCUGUGGCUGCCUCCUUCUUACUGGAGGGCAUAGAGGAAUGCAGAUUUUUGUUUGUUUGUUUUGAGACAGAGUGUCGCUGCAAUGCCCAGGCUGAAGUACAAUGGUGCGGUCUCGGCUCACUGCAACCUCUGCCUCCCGGGUUCAAGCAAUUCUCCUGCCUUAGCCUCCUGAGUAGCUGGGAUUACAGGCAUGCACCAUCAUGCCCUGGCUAAUUUUUGUAUUUUGUGUAGAGACGGGGUUUCACCAUGUUGGCCAGGCUGGUCUUGAACUCCUGACCUUGGGUGAUCCACCUGCCUCGGCCUCCUAAAGUGCUGAGAUUACAGGCGUGAGCCACCAUGCUCAGCCAGGAAUGUGCUUUUAAUCAUUUCUUAGUGUUUCAUGUGGGGACUUGAUAACUCACAAUAAGGAUUCUAUCCUAAAAGACAAGCAAUACCUGUUGACCUGCUCUUAUGUCCCAGGCAGUUUGUAAAACUGUUUCAUCUAUUCUCUCAAUAUGUCACUUCAAAUAUGAUCAGGAAAGAAGUCUUAAACAUGGCUGGAAAUGUGGGGGCAACAAAUACAUUAGUGAACACCCUGGCGGAUCC
rnacentral:lncRNA from 1 species